AAUUCUGAGUCAUCUGCUUGGGUUAUAAAGUCAACAGUCACAGACUGGCCUUGCAUCACUGGACCCAAACCUUUGACCUAACUUUCCCGUCUAAGGUGAAGAGAAAAUGACAAAGCAGUUAGCUUUAACCCAGCUUAUCUGUUUGGCAUUGCUGCAAGAGAGCACUUGAGACUUGGUUACUUAACAUAAAGAGAACAGCACUUGGCUCAGAGCUCCAGGAGUCCGAGACAUACACGACUGAAGUGUCCCUUCAAGCUAGGUCCUUCUGCUUUUUAAAACAUUGCAGGAUACAAUACAUCAUGAGAGGACACACCUAAGAGAGGAGGAGAACUAAGCCUGGUUCGUAACAAACCCACUGUCAUGCUAACGAAUCCACUCCCAGGAUGGCGAGUCUACUUGUGAGCAAAGAAUCCUUAUGACCUGGCUAUCGGUUAGCCACUUGGUGAAGAUCCUGCCAACUAAAAUCUAACAGGGAAGCUUAAGAUUCCAGUAAAGAGCAGGGAGUAGAGUGUUUCUGAACAGCACAGAGCUAUGAGGCAGAGGUACCUAUCAACAGAAUUAGAGAGCGAUCCAGGCAGACACUAGAAGAUAAACUCGUUUAUCUUCUCACAUCUGCCAAGUCAUGAAGGGCAGCUGUGUGGCAUAUCUUCUGUCCAACUUGCUUCCCAAUGGCUCGUUCUGCCUUGAGUAUAGCAGCUAUAAGAGAUGGGGGCAAUGGUGGAACUAGAGGAAACUCCAAGUGCGAGUGGUUCUAUUGGCAUUAAGAAAGUGACACCAGAUUUUUCUUCAUACAGAGGACAGUGGGUCACCAAGUGCUGUAGACCCAGUGAGAAGAUCACUGUUGACUCCAUAGGAAUUCUCGACAUGGCUUCUACCUUUUGAGUGUGCAAUGCUUUUUGUGUUAAAUCAUCUUUUUUUCCUACUUUAGGAAAUAGAACCAGAUUAUAACUCACUCCACAGAAUUCAUAUUGCUUCUGCUUGCACCCCCCCCCCUUGCACUUUUAGCAUUAAAACUCCUAGGAAUUAGGACACAACUCUUCCUGACCCAAAUAUGAGUGGUUUGGUUUCUGACAGUGGACAGAAGUUUAACAGGAAGAGGACGAGCAAAAACAGAAGGCAGGGCCAGCCCCCCUCUGACAUCUAGCCCGGCAUUCCAUCCUCCAGCUGAACAUCUUGAGCUGGACUGUCUCCAUUUGGACAAGGAAAACUGCCUCUCUUCACUCGCACAUGGAAAGGAGGGCUCAGUCAGUGUUAGCUGAGGACCAGAGAAGCAUGUACUUCCAGCAUCAACACGGUGGUAACCGGUUUGCGAGAACUAUCGGUUCUGAUAGCUCAGGAGUCUUCUAGAUUGUCGCUUGGGGAUCCCCUGGGACCUCGAUAGAUGAACAUGUAGCCUGCUCCUCCCUUUCAAACAAGAUAGUUAGCAUCUGUUUUCUCUCAUUUGAUUCAAAGCCUG